rnacentral:rRNA from 1 species
AAAGGAAUUGACGGGGGCCCGCACAAGCGGUGGAGCAUGUGGUUUAAUUCGAUGCAACGCGAAGAACCUUACCUACCCUUGACAUCGAGAGAACUUGGCAGAGAUGCCUUGGUGCCUUCGGGAACUCUCAGACAGGUGCUGCAUGGCUGUCGUCAGCUCGUGUUGUGAAAUGUUGGGUUAAGUCCCGUAACGAGCGCAACCCUUGUCCCUAUUUGCCAGCGAUUCGGUCGGGAACUCUAGGGAGACUGCCGGUGACAAACCGGAGGAAGGUGGGGACGACGUCAAGUCAUCAUGGCCCUUACGGGUAGGGCUACACACGUGCUACAAUGGCCAGUACAAAGGGUUGCAAAGCGGCGACGUGGAGCUAAUCCCAGAAAGCUGGUCUCAGUCCGGAUCGGAGUCUGCAACUCGACUCCGUGAAGUCGGAAUCGCUAGUAAUCGUGAAUCAGAAUGUCACGGUGAAUACGUUCCCGGGCCUUGUACACACCGCCCGU